rnacentral:pre_miRNA from 1 species
UUCUUACUCCCUCCGUCCAACAAAAGAUGUCUCAAGUUUGUCAAAAUUUGGAUGUAUAUAGACAUGACUUAGUGUGUAGUUGCAUUCAAAUUUAGUCAAAGUUGCGACAUUUUUUAUUGGACGGAUGAAGUGCUAU